UGGGGGAUAGUCUAAUGGCAAGACACCGGGUUCUGGCCCCGGAAUUCUAGGUUCGAGUCCUAGUCCCUCAGCCA
rnacentral:tRNA from 1 species